AUUGAACGCUGGCGGCAGGCCUAACACAUGCAAGUCGAGCGAGCGGCGGACGGGUGAGUAAUGUCUGGGAAACUGCCUGAUGGAGGGGGAUAACUACUGGAAACGGUAGCUAAUACCGCAUACCAUCAGAUGUGCCCAGAUGGGAUUAGCGAUUAGGUGGGGUAACGGCCCACCUGGGCGACGAUCCCUAGCUGGUCUGAGUGGAUGACCAGCGACCCUGGAACUGUGACACGGUCCAGACGCCGACAGGAGGCAGCAGGGGGGAAGAUUGCACAAUGGGCGCAAGCCUGAUGCAGCCAUGCCGCGAGUAUGAAGAAGGCCUUCGGGUUGUAAAGUACUUUCAGCGGGGAGGCGUUAGCCGCAGAAGAAGCACCGGCUAACUCCGUGCCAGCCGCCGCGGUAAUAC
rnacentral:rRNA from 1 species